rnacentral:rRNA from 1 species
AUGAUGAUGCAGCAAAUAUUUGGUCAAGCAUUUGGAUUUAGCUGUGGUGUUCAAACAUAUCAAUCCCCUGUCCCUGCAGAAGUAGGAUACAAUCAAUCCACUGCAGCUGAGACUAGCCACUGGACAAUGGCUGAUAAUGGAGAGAUAGACUGUUUCUCAACCAUGGCAAGUACACCAAUUUUAACAGUGAAGACCCUUCAUAUCAAUUCAGCGAUUCUUGCUGCAAGAAGUCGUUUCUUUCUAAAGCUUUUCUCAAAUGGCAUGAAUGAAUCUGAUCAGACGCAUCCAAGAAUCAGGAUUGCUGAUUCAGAGGAAAAAGCCUUUAUGGAGCUUUUAAGCUUCAUGUACAGUGGAAAGUUGACAACAAUUGAGCCCACUCUUCUGCUCGACAUCUUAAUGGCUGCCGACAAAUUUGAGGUUCUUUCUUGCAUGAGGUACUGCAGUCAGUUGCUCAGAAGCCUGCCUAUGACCACAGAAUCUGCACUGCUAUACCUCGAUCAUCCAUGCUCCCUUUCAAUGGCUGCUGAAGUUCAGAGUGUGGUAGGUGCAGCCAAGGAAUUCCUUGCCGAGAAAUACAAGAUUUUAGACAAGUUUGAAGAAGUGAUGAACAUCUCUCUUUCUGGAAUCGAGGCGAUCUUUUCGAGCACUGACAUACAAGUAGCAUCUGAAGAUGCGGUAUAUAACUUCUUGCUCGAGUGGGCCCGUGCGCGAUACCUGGAACCGGAGGAAAGACGCGGGAUCUUGAGCAGCCGUUUGCUUCCGCUGGUACGCUUCAGUCAUAUGACAUGUGCCGCUCUUCAGGAGAUCCUAGCAUGCACUGAUGAUGAUAUAGACCGUGAGCAAGUAACCAAGCGCAUCAAUGAGGUCCUCCUCCACAAAGCUUACCCAACCCAGAUGGAAGGUGCUCUUGCAGCAGAUGUAUCAACUCUCGAUUGGCAAUCUGCUGAGCGAACUUACGGGUCCAAACAUGUGAAAGCGGUUGUGUUUGAUCGACCUUGCCCACAGGUUAUAGUUUACAUGGAUCUAACCCGCGACGAGUGCUCCCGAUUCUUCCCAUCAGGAGUUAUAUUGUCGGACUGGUUCCAUCUCGCAGGUCAGAAAUUCUAUCUCAUGGCAGACUGUGUACUGGAUGAGCAGACAGAGUUGUACAGCUUUGGCCUCUGGCUAGGGAUAUAUGGAAAUUCUGUUUCAGGCUCGUCGUGUUUCGAUGUUGAGUUUGCUGCAAGGACAAGAUCGUCAGGAAAAUUCUUGAGCAAGUACGUCGGUAGGCACACAUUCAGCGGGUCUUUGCUGGAGGGAUGUGAUGAUCUUUUUGGAGUUCCAUGGUCGACGUUCAUUGCGGACGACAGCCUCUUCAUCGACGGCGUGCUGCAUCUGAGAGUUGAUCUGACUGUGGUGGAGCAGCCUGAAUUACAGACCUGA